rnacentral:rRNA from 1 species
GACGAACGCGGCGGCGUGCUUAACACAUGCAAGUCGAACGGAGCGAAUGAAAGCUUGCUUUUAUGAGCUUAGUGGCAAACGGGUGAGUAACACGUAGGCAACCUGCCGACAGGAUGGGGACAACAUUCCGAAAGGAAUGCUAAUACCGAAUGAAGCGGAGGAGAGGCAUCUCCCCUCCGUGAAAGAUGGCCUCUUUUUAUGCUAUCACCUGUCGAUGGGCCUGCGUCUGAUUAGCUGGUAGGUGAGGUAACGGCUCACCUAGGCGACGAUCAGUAGCCGGUCUGAGAGGAUGAACGGCCACAUUGGGACUGAGACACGGCCCAGACUCCUACGGGAGGCAGCAGUGGGGAAUCUUCCGCAAUGGGCGCAAGCCUGACGGAGCAACGCCGCGUGAGUGAAGAAGGUCUUCGGAUCGUAAAGCUCUGUUGAUGGGGACGAACGUGCCUAAUGCGAAAUAGUAUUAGGCAAA